rnacentral:rRNA from 1 species
GACGAACGCUGGCGGCGUGCUUAACACAUGCAAGUCGAACGGAAAGGCCCUGCUUUUGUGGGGUGCUCGAGUGGCGAACGGGUGAGUAACACGUGAGUAACCUGCCCUUGACUUUGGGAUAACUUCAGGAAACUGGGGCUAAUACCGGAUAGGAGCUCCUGCUGCAUGGUGGGGGUUGGAAAGUUUCGGCGGUUGGGGAUGGACGCGCGGCUUAUCAGCUUGUUGGUGGGGUAGUGGCUUACCAAGGCUUUGACGGGUAGCCGGCCUGAGAGGGUGACCGGCCACAUUGGGACUGAGAUACGGACCAGACUGCUACGGGAGGCAGUAGUGGGGAAUAUUGCACAAUGGGAGGAAGCCUGAUGCAGCAACGCCGGGUGCGGGAUGACGGCCUUCGGGUUGUAAACCGCUUUCGCCUGUGACGAAGCGUGAGUGACGGUAAUGGGUAAAGAAGCACCGGCUAACUACGUG